rnacentral:rRNA from 1 species
CGGCGUAGCUCGCUUGCUGAGCUAGUAAGUGGCGCACGGGUGAGUAACGCGUGGGUAACCUACCUCCGAAUUGGGGAUAACAUUGCGAAAGCGAUGCUAAUACCGGAUAACAUCCUGGCAACCUCGGCUGCCAGGAUCAAAGGUGGCCUCUACAUGUAAGCUACUGUUUGGAGAGGGGCCCGCGUCCCAUUAGCUUGUUGGUGGGGUAAUGGCCUACCAAGGCGACGAUGGGUAGCUGGUCUGAGAGGAUGAUCAGCCACACUGGAACUGACACACGGUCCAGACUCCUACGGGAGGCAGCAGUGAGGAAUCUUGCGCAAUGGGCGAAAGCCUGACGCAGCAACGCCGCGUGAGUGAUGAAGGCUUUCGGGUCGUAAAGCUCUGUCAAGUGGGAAGAACCCAUGUGAUGCUAAUAUCAUCAUGUGCUGACGGUACCACUGAAGGAAGCACCGGCUAACUCCGUGCCAGCAGCCGCGGUAACACGGGGGGUGCAAGCGUUACUCGGAAUUACUGGGCGUAAAGAGCGCGUAGGCGGUUUCCUAAGUCAGGUGUGAAGGCCCGGGGCUUAACCCCGGAAGUGCAUUUGAUACUGGGUGACUUGAGUAUGGGAGAGGGAAGUGGAAUUCCUGGUGUAGCGGUGAAAUGCGUA